rnacentral:rRNA from 1 species
CCCGCACAAGCAGCGGAGCAUGUGGCUUAAUUCGAUACAACGCGAAGAACCUUACCUACCCUUGACAUGUCCGGAACUUGCCAGAGAUGGCUUGGUGCCCGAAAGGGAAUCGGAACACAGGUGCUGCAUGGCUGUCGUCAGCUCGUGUCGUGAGAUGUUGGGUUAAGUCCCGCAACGAGCGCAACCCUUAUCAUUAGUUGCUACGCAAGGGCACUCUAAUGAGACUGCCGGUGACAAACCGGAGGAAGGUGGGGAUGACGUCAAGUCCUCAUGGCCCUUAUGGGUAGGGCUUCACACGUCAUACAAUGGUCGGUACAGAGGGUUGCCAAGCCGCGAGGCGGAGCCAAUCCCACAAAGCCGAUCGUAGUCCGGAUUGUUCUCUGCAACUCGAGAGCAUGAAGUCGGAAUCGCUAGUAAUCGUAGGUCAGCAUACUGCGGUGAAUACGUUCCCGGGUCUU